GCGAAGAACCUUACCUGGCCUUGACAUACUAAGAACUUUCCAGAGAUGGAUUGGUGCCUUCGGGAACUUAGAUACAGGUGCUGCAUGGCUGUCGUCAGCUCGUGUCGUGAGAUGUUGGGUUAAGUCCCGCAACGAGCGCAACCCUUUUCCUUAUUUGCCAGCGAGUAAUGUCGGGAACUUUAAGGAUACUGCCAGUGACAAACUGGAGGAAGGCGGGGACGACGUCAAGUCAUCAUGGCCCUUAC
rnacentral:rRNA from 1 species